rnacentral:rRNA from 1 species
GAGUUUGAUCAUGGCUCAGAUUGAACGCUAGCGGCAUGCUUUACACAUGCAAGUCGAACGGCAGCGCGGGGUAACCUGGCGGCGAGUGGCGAACGGGUGAGUAAUACAUCGGAACGUGCCCUGUGAUGGGGGAUAACUACGCGAAAGCGUAGCUAAUACCGCAUACGACCUACGGGUGAAAGUGGGGGAUCGCAAGACCUCACGUCAUAGGAGCGGCCGAUGGCGGAUUAGCUAGUUGGUGAGGUAAAGGCUUACCAAGGCAACGAUCCGUAGCUGGUCUGAGAGGACGACCAGCCACACUGGGACUGAGACACGGCCCAGACUCCUACGGAAGGCAGCAGUGGGGAAUCUUGGACAAUGGGGGCAACCCUGAUCCAGCAAUGCCGCGUGUGGGAUGAAGGCCUUCGGGUUGUAAACCACUUUUGGCGGGGGCGAAAUAUCGAGUGCUAAUACCAUUCGGUGAUGACGGUACCCGCAGAAUAAGCACCGGCUAACUACGUGCCAGCAGCCGCGGUAC